AUUGAACGCUGGCGGCAGGCCUAACACAUGCAAGUCGAGCGGAUGAAGGGAGCUUGCUCCUGGAUUCAGCGGCGGACGGGUGAGUAAUGCCUAGGAAUCUGCCUGGUAGUGGGGGAUAACGUCCGGAAACGGGCGCUAAUACCGCAUACGUCCUGAGGGAGUAAGUGGGGGAUCUUCGGACCUUACGCUAUCAGAUGAGCCUAGGUCGGAUUAUCUAGUUGGUGGGGUAAAGGCCUACCAAGGCGACGAUCCGUAACUGGUCUGAGAGGAUGAUCAGUCACACUGGAACUGAGACACGGUCCAGACUCCUACGGGAGGCAGCAGUGGGGAAUAUUGGACAAUGGGCGAAAGCCUGAUCCAGCCAUGCCGCGUGUGUGAAGAAGGUCUUCGGAUUGUAAAGCACUUUAAGUUGGGAGGAAGGGCAGUAAGUUAAUACCUUGCUGUUUUGACGUUACCAACAGAAUAAGCACCGGCUAACUUCGUG
rnacentral:rRNA from 1 species